AUUGAACGCUAGCGGCAUGCUUUACACAUGCAAGUCGAACGGCAGCGCGGGGCAACCUGGCGGCGAGUGGCGAACGGGUGAGUAAUACAUCGGAACGUGCCCUGUGAUGGGGGAUAACUACGCGAAAGCGUGGCUAAUACCGCAUACGACCUACGGGUGGAAGUGGGGGAUCGAAAGACCUCACGUCAUAGGAGCGGCCGAUGGCGGAUUAGCUAGUUGGUGAGGUAAAGGCUUACCAAGGCGACGAUCCGUAGCUGGUCUGAGAGGACGACCAGCCACACUGGGACUGAGACACGGCCCAGACUCCUACGGGAGGCAGCAGUGGGGAAUCUUGGACAAUGGGGGCAACCCUGAUCCAGCAAUGCCGCGUGUGGGAUGAAGGCCUUCGGGUUGUAAACCACUUUUGGCGGGGGCGAAAUAUCGAGUGUUAAUACCAUUCGGUGAUGACGGUACCCACAGAAUAAGCACCGGCUAACUACGUGCCAGCAGCCGCGGUAAUACGUAGGGUGCAAGCGUUAAUCGGAAUUACUGGGCGUAAAGCGUGCGCAGGCGGUUUGGUAAGACAGAUGUGAAAUUCCCGGGCUCCCCCCUGGGAACUGCAUUUGUGACUGCCUAACUAGAGUGCGGCAAAGGGGAGUGGAAUCCGCGUGUA
rnacentral:rRNA from 1 species